rnacentral:rRNA from 1 species
UACGAAGGGGGCUAGCGUUACUCGGAAUUACUGGGCGUAAAGGCGCGUAGGCGGCUCAUCAAGUCGGGGCGAGCAAAUUCCUGGGCUCAACCUGGGAACUGCGCUCGAGACUGGUGGGCUAGAGGAUGGAAGAGGGUCGUGGAAUUCCCGGUGUAGCGGUGGAAUGCGUAGAGAUCGGGAAGAACAUCAGUGGCGAAGGCGGCCUGCUGGGCUGUUGCUGACGCUGAGGCGCGGACAGCGGUGGGGAGCAAACAGG